rnacentral:rRNA from 1 species
CGCGCAGUUUUCUGUAGCAAUACAGGGAAUGGGCGCGUGGCGAACGGGUGCGUAACACGUGGAUAACCUUCCUUGAGGUGGGGAAUAACCCAGUGAAAAUUGGGCUAAUACCGCAUAACAAUGCGAUGGCACAUGCUGUUGCAUUCAAAGGCGCAAGUCGCCACAAGAGGGAUCCGCGGCCGAUUAGCUUGUUGGCGAGGUAAUGGCUCACCAAGGCAAUGAUCGGUAGCCGGACUGAGAGGUUGGCCGGCCACACUGGAACUGAGACACGGUCCAGACUCCUACGGGAGGCAGCAGUGGGGAAUCUUGCACAAUGGACGAAAGUCUGAUGCAGCAACGCCGCGUGGGGGAUGAAGCUUCUCGGAGUGUAAACCCCUUUCGACCCGGACGAAUGCCCGCAAGGGUUUGACGGUACGGGUAUAAGAAGCCCCGGCUAACUACGUGCCAGCAGCCGCGGUAAUACGUAGGGGGCCAGCGUUGCUCGGAAUUACUGGGCGUAAAGGGUCCGUAGGCGGUGCGGCAAGUCGAUAGUGAAAUCUCUGGGCUUAACCCAGAGGCUGCUAACGAAACUGCCGUGCUAGAGUGUGAGAGAGGCGAGUGGAAUUACGGGUGUAGCGGUGAAAUGCGUAGAUAUCCGUAGGAACAUCCGAGGCGAAAGCGGCUCGCUGGAUCACAACUGACGCUGA